GACGAACGCUGGCGGCGUGCUUAACACAUGCAAGUCGAACGGAAAGGCCCUGCUUUUGUGGGGUGCUCGAGUGGCGAACGGGUGAGUAACACGUGAGUAACCUGCCCUUGACUUUGGGAUAACUUCAGGAAACUGGGGCUAAUACCGGAUAGGAGCUCCUGCUGCAUGGUGGGGGUUGGAAAGUUUCGGCGGUUGGGGAUGGACUCGCGGCUUAUCAGCUUGUUGGUGGGGUAGUGGCUUACCAAGGCUUUGACGGGUAGCCGGCCUGAGAGGGUGACCGGCCACAUUGGGACUGAGAUACGGCCCAGACUCCUACGGGAGGCAGCAGUGGGGAAUAUUGCACAAUGGGCGGAAGCCUGAUGAAGCAACGCCGCGGGCGGGAUGACGGCCUUCGGGUUGUAAACCGCUUUCGCCUGUGACGAAGCGUGAGUGACGGUAAUGGGUAAAGAAGCACCGGCUAACUACGUG
rnacentral:rRNA from 1 species